rnacentral:rRNA from 1 species
GACGAACGCUGGCGGCGUGCUUAACACAUGCCAGUCGAACGGAAAGGCCCUGCUUUUGUGGGGUGCUCGCGUCGCGAACGGGUGAGUAACCUGUGAGUAACCUGCCCUUGACUUUGGGAUAACUUCAGGAAACUGGGGAUAAUACCGGCUAGGAGCUCCUGCUGCAUGGUGGGGGUUGGACAGUUUCGGCGGUUGGGGAUGGACUCGCGGCUUACCAGCUUGUUGGUGGGGUAGUGGCUUACCAAGGCUUUGACGGGUAGCCGGCCUGAGAGGGUGACCGGCGACAUUGGGACUGAGAGACGGCCCAGAGUCCUACGGGAGGCAGCAGUGGGGAAUAUUGCACAGUGGGCGGAAGCCUGAUGCAGCAACGCCGCGUGCGGGAUGACGGCCUUCGGGUUGUAAACCGCUUUCGCCUGUGACGAAGCGUGAGUGACGGUAAUGGGUAAAGAAGCACCGGCUAACUACGUG